rnacentral:tRNA from 1 species
GGCCGGUUAGCUUAGUUGGUUAAAGUAAGGUGUUAAUAAUGCCAAGGUCGCAGGUUCGAUCCCCAUAUAGGUCU